rnacentral:rRNA from 1 species
UGGCUCAGAUUGAACGCUGGCGGCAUGCCUAACACAUGCAAGUCGAACGGCAGCACAGCAGUAGCAAUACUGUGGGUGGCGAGUGGCGGACGGGUGAGUAAUGCAUCGGGACCUACCUGAACGUGGGGGAUAACGUAGGGAAACUUACGCUAAUACCGCAUACGUCCUACGGGAGAAAGCGGGGGACCUUCGGGCCUCGCGCGGUCAGACGGACCGAUGUUCGAUUAGCUAGUUGGUAGGGUAAUGGCCUACCAAGGCGACGAUCGAUAGCUGGUCUGAGAGGAUGAUCAGCCACACUGGAACUGAGACACGGUCCAGACUCCUACGGGAGGCAGCAGUGGGGAAUAUUGGACAAUGGGCGCAAGCCUGAUCCAGCAAUGCCGCGUGUGUGAAGAAGGCCUUCGGGUUGUAAAGCACUUUUAUCAGGAGCGAAAUACUACCGGUUAAUAACCGGUGGGGCUGACGGUACCUGAGGAAUAAGCACCGGCUAAUUUCGUGC